AUGUUUUGCUUGAUAGAGAAAAUGGAGGACAUGGACAUUGAUUUAGUUGUGGACGUACCUGACACCCCUGAUAGGUUAUCUGCACGGAGAAUGAAUAGAGCAGAUUGUGUUGAAAAAGAACGUCAUUUAUCAGUAGCUGGUUAUUUUGGAGGUUCUGAUACUGCAGGUGAAGAAUCUUUGGAUAGGCUAGGGGGCAGGGGUAGGCGGGUUGCUGAGAAUGGGCACAACAGAAAGCAUUAUAUACACCCUCGGAAACAUUCGGGCAAUGUUGAUGAAAUUGAGCGUCAAAGAAAUGCCAUUGUCUUAUCUCCACUAAAAAAUGCUCGAGAAAAUGCUCCUUUAUUUAGGAGAACAAUGGAGAGAAGCAGGAGUUCCUCUAGAGAGCAAUUCAUGGAUAAAGGAAAAGAUCCUUUCCCUAAGUUGCCUUCUAAAUCAUCUGUAUCCCGAGAAGAUCAUGCUAUUCUAGAUUUAACUGAGCAGAGCAGACACAACCGAAUGCUUGAAAUGGCUUUUCCACCUGGUGGAUCAAAAAAUCGCUUAGCUGAAGGAAGAAGAGAAGGCCAGGGACCAAGAAAUAGUGGUUCUUAUAUACGUAACGCUUCAAAUAAUGCAGCAACAUCCAGAGAUAACUGCAAGGGAAAGGAAAAAGUAGAUGACAUUGGAUUUAAAAGAGUAGGCUCAGUUGUGGAUGACGGAAAAGGGAUGGGUCGUUCUCAUGGUACCCCACUUAGAACAGAAAAACAAUUGCCUGCAUCUCACCAUUCUAUUUUCUCACCAAGAGCCAUUGGGCAAAAAAGGUUGGUUCGAAAUGGCUGCAUCUCCCCCCAGAAUAUAGCUAUCAGGGCUAAACAAUUAAAUGAACAAUAUGAAAACAGCUCCAAAGCUGAACAAGAUUUUGGGAAUGUGAUUAGCAGCAGUCCUCGGAUGACAGACAUUAGGAAAAUAAUUGCUGAAGAUAAUAAUUACGUUAAAGGAAAAGGAGUUGUCCAUCCUCACACAUCCAAGGAGCAUGAUAUGAAUUUUAUUAAUCUAUCCAGCAGUCCUAUGAGUAAUAAUGGAGAAGUUAGUGGAAUUAGUGAUUCCCGUAGAGAUGCAUGCUUUGAAGAAAAAGGUGGUUGGAGAAGCGUGCACAACCAUUCAAAGAAUGUAGAUCAUGCAGCUGUAUGUCAGUUCAGCAGAUUUAAUAAUAUUGGAUGCCAAGAACAAAGUGAAAAUAGAGCUGUGAAAAGAGGAGAAAAGAACAGGAUUGGAUGUGAUUUUCCAGAAAAUCAGGAUGCAACUGAAAAGGCUCCUGCGAUCGUCUCAAAGCUCAAUCAAAUUAGUGAACCUUCUCUUGCAACAAACUUGCUACCUAAAAGGCAAAAGAAACAUGAAUUAACCUUGAGAAAUAGUGGUGAAAGCUCUAGGGUCAUUCCUAAUGACUCAGACAUUGUGUUUCUUGGUUCAUCUAGGGGAUCAUCUAGUUCAAGGUCAUCUAAUAUUCAUAUUGGUCAGCAUCUGGAUGUUUUGGAUCUUGACAAGGCAUCUGAAAUGAGAGGGACAAAUGCCAAUAAUAUGGACUGUGUGAAGGAUGAGGACUCAGAGGCUAGGGCAAGACAAGUUGAAGCGGAUGAAAUGUUGGCCCGUGAACUCCAAGAACAAUUUUAUCAUGAGGUCCCAAUAUAUGGCGAUGGCGAGAUUGAUGAAAACAUUGCAUGGGCACUUCAGCAGGAGGAAGAUGCACUCCGUCCUACUACUACUCAGAGUCACCGUGAGCCCGACCAAAGAGGCUCAAUAAGGCAUUCCCGUGUUCAGCCUUCAUCACGGAUUUUUCUGAAUUCUUCGAAUAGGAGAGGAGGACAGGCUCGUUUCCCCACUUCUGCUAGAAUGUCACGGUUGAGGAGUCGAGUUUUGAAUGAAUCUCGAGCAGCACCAACUAGGACUAGGAAUUUUCGGUUUCCUUUGGACAUGGAUUUGGAUAUGAGACUUGAUAUAUUGGAAGCCAUGGAGGCUGCAAUUGGAGAUGAUGACAGCAUGGGAAUGGCUAGUCACAUCUUCCAAGAACGUGAUUUUAAUGAAAAUGAUUAUGAAAUGCUGUUGGCCCUUGAUGAGAACAUUCAUCAGCAUGGUGGUGCAUCUAUUAAUCAGAUUAACAGUUUACCACUGUCUAAAGUACAGACUGAUAAUUUUGACGAAGCUUGUGCAAUAUGUCUUGAAACCCCUAGUAUUGGUGAAACCAUACGCCAUCUUCCUUGUCUACAUAAAUUUCACAAGGAGUGUAUUGAUCCAUGGCUGAGCAGGAAAACGUCAUGCCCAGUUUGCAAGUCACCUAUAACUUGAAUGGGAGUGUUUUUGCGCUUCAAACAUCAUGCAUGACCGUAAAAAGUGCAAGCAAAUAUAGUUUUUAUCAGAGAUAGAUUUGACCUUUUCUGAACCAAAUAUUUUGGGGAUUACUUAAUGAGCAAACAAUGAGGGGAAGGCAUCUCAAAGCUUGAUGACAGAAUGAAGUAGUUCCUCGUGAUGAGCAGACAUAGCUUUGAAAUGUUAAAUGGAGGAUCAUGAUCUUCUGAACAAGAAAAGAAGUUGCAUUCUAGAAAGUAAGGGCAUGAAUCUAAGCAUACGAAUGGGCUGCUAUCUUGUUGAAAGCAGCUAUUGUUUUGAAUUUUGUUGGAAAAUGGUGCAUCGAACCUAUAACUUACACCAUUCGUCCCCCAUUAAUGCCAUUGGUUCCUAAAGCUGUACUAACAGCCAUUCACAAUUGAAUCAUUCUGUUGCUUCCUUGUUCUCUUCUUUUCACUCUCUUUAAAAACAAAUUGAAUUCGGAAGGAACAAACAAAAAAAAAAGUCAAAAAAUUACGGAGUUAUUUGCUAGGGAGCAUGACCAUGGCCGAACCCAUUGUGGAAGCGGACUGCAAUCAUGCAAUCGGAACAAAUUAGGCUUUUGCAAGGACCUGGGAGUGGCAAUCAUAUAUUUUGAAAGGGAAUUAUGUCUUUAAUUUGGGUAGAGUUCAAGAAAGGGAACAAUUUCGCUUUUAUCGAAUGUAGAAUGGUAAUUCGCCACGCAUGAUAGACUUACAAUUUGGGUCCAUGUGAAAGGCCGUAGGAAACCUACAGUCACAAUUUAUAUGUCAAAUUCUACUAGGUCUUUGAUCAUAACUUGUUUUUAUAUAGGAGCUGAUAACGUAGGAAAAAUUACUUCCCAUGUGGGGAUGACAGAAGAGAGAGAAAGUUGACGCUUAAACAUGUACUAUAUAUGAUAUAUAGCUUGAAAGAUUAUAAUUUUAUGAAAAGUGUCCACGAUCCAGCCAGAUGUCUGAACUCUGUUUCAGAUUUCUGGCCAAAAAUAAAUCCGAUUUAUUACACUGCUUUAUUUAAAUUUCCAGCCCAUUUUUGAAUACUUUGACAAGAAAUCAUAGCAGCUAAACAAAAAAUCUGGUAUUCUAUAGGGCAUCCUUGGAUAAUAGG